AUGAACGCUGGCGGCGUGUCUAAGGCAUGCAAGUCGUACGGUUUAGUCGCAAGACUAAAUAGUGGCAAACGGGUGCGUAACACAUUGGUAACCUACCCUGAAGUUCGGGACAACCUGUCGAAAGACGGGCUAAUACCGGAUGCGAUCGAAGUCCUCAUGGAUUUCGCUCAAAGAUUUAUCGCUUCAGGAGGGGCCUAUGGUCUAUCAGCUAGUUGGUGAGGUAAUGGCUCACCAAGGCGACGACGGAUAGCGGGAUUGAGAGAUCGACCCGCCUCACUGGGACUGAGACACUGCCCAGACUCCUACGGGAGGCUGCAGUCAAGAAUAUUCCCCAAUGGCCGAAAGGCUGAGGGAGCGACGCCGCGUGUAGGAUGAAGCUCUUCGGAGUGUAAACUGCUUUUCUCAAGGAAAAACUCUGAUGGUACUUGAGGAAUAAGGGGCUGCUAACUUCGU
rnacentral:rRNA from 1 species